CCCAAGCCCAUGAGGGGAAAGAGUAGUCCGGGGAAACCUUGCAGAGAGAUGGCGGCUGGUGGAAGCCAUCAGGGGAACCUGGAGGAAACUGGUCCCGGAGGAGACAGGCCGAAGCAGUGCAGUAGGCCUGGACGGCAUUCCCCGUUAUCGGAAGCGCGUAUGAUUGUACGUGGCAAAGUGUCCCGGACCAGCAAUGGCCGGGGAAACAGGGUGGUACCGCGGAUUUUUCCGUCCCUUUU
rnacentral:ncRNA from 1 species